GAGGAUAUUGGUGCCCGUACCGCAAACCGACACAGGUAGGUGAGGAGAGAAUCCUAAGACCAUCGGAAGAAUUGCUGUUAAGGAACUCGGCAAAUUGACCCCGUAACUUCGGGAGAAGGGGUGCCUACGAAAGUAGGUCGCAGAGAAUAGGCCCAAGCAACUGUUUAGCAAAAACACAGGUCUCUGCUAAAGCGAAAGCUGAUGUAUAGGGGCUGACGCCUGCCCGGUGCUGGAAGGUUAAGGGGAUUACUUAGCGCAAGCGAAGGUAUGAACUUAAGCCCCAGUAAACGGCGGCCGUAACUAUAACGGUCCUAAGGUAGCGAAAUUCCUUGUCGGGUAAGUUCCGACCCGCACGAAUGGCGUAAUGAUUUGGGCACUGUCUCAACAGCACAUCCGGCGAAAUUGUAGUGCCAGUGAAGAUGCUGGCUACCCGCGAUUGGACGGAAAGACCCCGUAGAGCUUUACUGUAGCUUAGCAUUGAAUUUCGGUAUUGUCUGUACAGGAUAGGU
rnacentral:rRNA from 1 species